UCCCGGCGGUCCAAGUUGCAUCCACAUUUAUUGGGUCUAAAACAUCCGUAGCUUGUUUAGCAAGUCUCUUGUGAAAUCUUACAUCUCAAGUGUGAGGCGUGCAAGAGAUACUGCUUUGCUAGAGACCGGAAGACGUAAGGAGUACGGUUAAGGUAGUGGUAAAAUACGUUAAUCUUGGCCGGACUAACAAUGGCGAAGGCACCUUACGAGUACGGAUCUGACAGUGAGGGAUGAAGGCUAGGGGCGCAAA
rnacentral:rRNA from 1 species